UUAAUCUUGUGGUUAAUGCCGCGCAGUUAUUGAAUGUUAUAAACUAUAUAAAAGCGCAGUAAUUGAAAAGUGUACAAUAUAAUCUAUGUAGAUUCUAAUAUAACCUAUUGUAGAAAUGGAAACGAAAAGAUAUUAAUGUUAAACUUUAUGAUAAAGUUUAAAUUCUAUUUGUACACAAUCGAUAACUUCUUCUAAAUGAAUUGGAAUAAGCUGGUUGCACGGAAAAGAAGUUUACGUGUACGAUAUUGCAGCGAAAUCCGAGUAGGCAAUGAUUUGAAAAGUUUCGAUAAAAGUAGACGGAGAGGAAAACGACGCCGGAUCGAUUGUACAAUCGUGUGUGAUUUCCGUUCAAAGCCGUCCAAAGCAAUCAAUGGAACACGUCGAUGGCGAAUACAAAGAGUCAACUCUACUUCGUUGUUCUUGCUAGAAGAAAAUCUAAUAUUUCGUUCUCAUGCUUGUCUACCAUAAACUAUGUGCGGUCAUACACAAUUUAUAGACAUUGGUAAGACAAUAGUUAAUAUUAAUUCGUCUAAGUAGAGAAAAAAUCGAAAGUGGAUGAAGAUUGAUUUUAUAUAGACAUCCGAAUUCAGCGAUUCUAAAUGCAUCUGUUCCAUAUUGGGAAUUUAGGACGAAAUAAAUGUGUAUUUUAGCUACGUUCUAAAGUGCAUAUAGUUCUUAUGCAAAUUUUAACUGUCAGCCGUUUAUUGUAGUUAAACAUGGAAUUAUAAAGUUUAAUUAAAGAGUUUAUAAAGUUUAUAUAAAUUUUACCACGUGUCAGUCAUCCGUUACAGAUACACAUGGAACAAGAGCGAUACAGGUGUUCAAAUACUUAUGCACGGUAGAGUAUAUACCUCACUAGAGAUGAAAGGAUUAAAGAAGUCCGCUUUGCUAUGUUUACUAUAUAUAUAUAAUUCCGAAAGGACGAAAAGGUAGAGUAGCAGAUUCCACAGCAGUUGGAAUUGUGACAAAUAUUUCCGUAAUUUGCUUUUCGGAUUACCCCUUCCGAUGAUUUCAAUCCCCGUCCAUUAAUUCUAUCGUUAACGAAAUGCGCGAUUUAAUUACCUACAUUGGCCUGAUAGAAAUUCGAUAAAUAAUAUUACCACUGAUGAAAUAUAGCCAAUUAAAUAAAUAACAUGGCAUCGCGGUGCGGCGUGACACGAUCAUAGAAACUUUACGAUAUAGGUGAUCACAACAUGACGCAAUGAAAUCACCAAUUUAUAGAUAAGUAGAUGCUUAUUAUUUGUACAUUGUAUUCAUCAAGGGGAUCAUUAACACGGUAAGCUACAUUCUGGUACCCAUAUUUUUAUAAUGCGAUGUUCUUCCGUUUGCUUUUGUUUCAUU